UUUAUCGGAGAGUUUGAUCCUGGCUCAGGACGAACGCUGGCGGCGUGCCUAAUACAUGCAAGUCGAGCGGACAGAUGGGAGCUUGCUCCCUGAUGUUAGCGGCGGACGGGUGAGUAACACGUGGGUAACCUGCCUGUAAGACUGGGAUAACUCCGGGAAACCGGGGCUAAUACCGGAUGGUUGUCUGAACCGCAUGGUUCAGACAUAAAAGGUGGCUUCGGCUACCACUUACAGAUGGACCCGCGGCGCAUUAGCUAGUUGGUGAGGUAACGGCUCACCAAGGCGACGAUGCGUAGCCGACCUGAGAGGGUG
rnacentral:rRNA from 1 species